AAGACCUUAUCCCCUACUUGGAACUCCACUUCCCUCCUGUGCUCAUCUGCUCUUGCCUUCAUAGUCUGCUGAGCUUUCAACAACUGCUGGCGAAGCAAUACCAGAUUGUCAUCACGCUCCUGCAGCCUUGCCUCCAACUCAGCAUUAUUGGUAGAACCAUUCUCGUAGCGUAACAGCGACGGUGGCUCUCUACCAUACAAAGCCUGGAAUGGUGACAUAUUAAUAGCAGAGUG
rnacentral:lncRNA from 1 species